GAGGAAGCCCGGUGCGAUUCCGGCGCGGUCCCGCCACUGUGAUCCCGGCCCCACCGGCCGGGUGAGUCAGGAACUC
rnacentral:ncRNA from 2 species